UACGUAGGUGGCAAGCGUUGUCCGGAAUUAUUGGGCGUAAAGCGCGCGCAGGUGGUUUCUUAAGUCUGAUGCGAAAGCCCACGGCUCAACCGUGGAGGGUCAUUGGAAACUGGGGAACUUGAGUGCAGGAGAGAAGAGUGGAAUUCCACGUGUAGCGGUGAAAUGCGUAGAGAUGUGGAGGAACACCAGUGGCGAAGGCGACUCUUUGGCCUGUAACUGACACUGAGGCGCGAAAGCGUGGGGAGCAAACAGG
rnacentral:rRNA from 1 species